GACGAACGCUGGCGGCGUGCCUAAUACAUGCAAGUCGAACGCAGUGGGGACGGGUGAGUAACACGUGGGUAACCUCCCAUCAGAGGUGAUAACACUUGGAAACCGGUGCUAAACCGAUCCUGAUGGAUGGACCCGCGGUGCAUUAACUAGUUGGUGAGGUAACGGCUCACCAAGGACACGAUGCAUAGCCGACCUGAGAGGGUGAUCGGCCACACUGGGACUGAGACACGGCCCAGACUCCUACGGGAGGCAGCAGUGGGGAAUCUUCGGCAAUGGACGAAAGUCUGACCGAGCAACGCCGCGUGAGUGAAGAAGGUUUGCGGAUCGUAAAACUCUGUUGUUAGAGAAGCGGUAUCUAACCAGAAAGCCAAGGCUAACUACGUGCCAGCAGCCGCGGUAAUUC
rnacentral:rRNA from 1 species